rnacentral:lncRNA from 1 species
CACCAGAAAACAAAUGUCAAGGUAACGUUUUUUGCACCCAGGUUCUCAGACCACUUCCGGUUCAGAUCCACGGGCACACCCGAAGGCAGUUCUACCGCAGGAAGGCUAGUGCUGGUGGUCAGCCUGAAUCAAAAGGAAGAAACCUGGGCGAUUUUAAGGGCAAUCAGACACGUGGAGCCACUUGGGACACCCUGCCCUAGAGACCCUCAAACUGUUCCCUUGGGACACCCAGGUAAAGAUCUCAGGGGUCGCUGCCCGGAAACCCGACUAACCAUCUUUGGAGAUUGCGUUUUCGAGUGUUUGACGUGCUCUGUCCGGAGGAAAGCAGGUAGUAAUUCACGACACCUCGGGGAAGCGCGCAAAGACGCGGCAAGACACCGCCCCCGGCUCCGUUCCGCGGUCGCGCAAAGCGACCGUCGCUGGCGGACAGACAGGAGCGGGGGUGGCCCCCGCCGUUCGCGAGCGCGGCCAGGCUGGGUGUCCGGCAGGGGCCGCUGCAGCGGGGCAGGUGGCCGGCCCGCCCCGCGGCCUCCACGGCCCGCCCCCCGCGUCAGGGCCGCCGCCGCCGCCGUUCCCGCCUCCGGCAGGUGCGUCUCCGCGCGGCCCGCGGGCUCGGCGACCCGUCCUCCGCUCCCCGCCGGGGGUCCCAGCCCAGCACCGACCCGAGCGGACUCGAAGCUCCGCAGGCCGACGCGGGCCGGGGGGGGGGGGGGGGGGGGGCGGUGCCGGCGGGCGCAUGCGCGCUCCCCUCUUCCGGGGCCCACGACGGGUGGGAGGGCGAGGGGGAGGGGAGCGGAGCUCGCUUCUGCGGGAGGACCCCAGGAGGCUCCCCGGGCGGGGCCGCGGCCCGAGCGGAGCCCCGAGCCCGGUGGUGGCACAGCUCGCGGGCACCUGCCGCCCGAGAGACGAGGGAGGGGGCAGGAAGCGAGGUUCAAAGUCACUCGGCCGGAUCAGAUAAAAGGCAGAGUAAUGGAGUUCUCCAUCCUCCGACUCAGCACGGCCGUGGCCUGUGCUGCUUAGAGGAAUUUGCUUUUACACUUGAACAGGGUCGUAAGCUUGUAGAAGGUAGACCACUCCGACCAGCCCCCCCCCCCCCGAAAAGCAGAUAAAUGUUGGCACAGAAGAUGUUUCCAAUAAAUACUUUGUGGGAGUAUCUUGAAAAUAGUCU